UGGGGAAUAUUGGACAAUGGGCGCAAGCCUGAUCCAGCAAUGCCGCGUGUGUGAAGAAGGCCUUCGGGUUGUAAAGCACUUUUAUCAGGAGCGAAACGCUGUCGGCUAAUACCCGGCGGAACUGACGGUACCUGAGGAAUAAGCACCGGCUAACUUCGUGCCAGCAGCCGCGGUAAUACGAAGGGUGCAAGCGUUAAUCGGAAUUACUGGGCGUAAAGCGUGCGUAGGCGGUUUCUUAAGUCUGCUGUGAAAUCCCCGGGCUCAACCUGGGAAUGGCAGUGGAUACUGGGAGGCUAGAGUGUGUCAGAGGGUGGUGGAAUUCGUGUAGCGGUGAAUGCGUAGAGAUCGGGAGGAACAUCAGUGGCGAAGGCGGCCACCUGGGACAACACUGACGCUGAGGCACGAAAGCGUGGGGAGCAAACAGGAUUAGAUACCCUGGUAGUCCACGCCCUAAACGAUGCGAACUGGAUGUUGGUCUCAACUCGGAGAUCAGUGUCGAAGCUAACGCGUUAAGUUCGCCG
rnacentral:rRNA from 1 species